UCGGAAUAUAUUUGGAAGUUUCCUGGCAUAUGGAGCAAUCAUGCCUUCUUUGUGUGGAAGGUUUAUAUAGUGGACUCUUUCCUUGAUUCAUGCACGCAAAAUAUAGCUUUACAAGCUGAUCAAAGUUUGGGAUUUGAUCAACUUGUAAAUAUAGUGAAGAAAAAACUUGAAUCUCAGCUUCAAGAAAAUGUUGAGCAGUACUUGAAAGAGAAAGUUGUGCCUG
rnacentral:misc_RNA from 1 species